rnacentral:rRNA from 1 species
UGCAAGUCGAACGAUGAAGCCGCUUCGGUGGUGGAUUAGUGGCGAACGGGUGAGUAACACGUGGGCAAUCUGCCCUGCACUCUGGGACAAGCCCUGGAAACGGGGUCUAAUACCGGAUAUGAUCACCGGCCGCAUGGUCUGGUGAUGGAAAGCUCCGGCGGUGCAGGAUGAGCCCGCGGCCUAUCAGCUUGUUGGUGGGGUGAUGGCCUACCAAGGCGACGACGGGUAGCCGGCCUGAGAGGGCGACCGGCCACACUGGGACUGAGACACGGCCCAGACUCCUACGGGAGGCAGCAGUGGGGAAUAUUGCACAAUGGGCGCAAGCCUGAUGCAGCGACGCCGCGUGAGGGAUGACGGCCUUCGGGUUGUAAACCUCUUUCAGCAGGGAAGAAGCGCAAGUGACGGUACCUGCAGAAGAAGCACCGGCUAACUACGUGCCAGCAGCCGCGGUAAUACGUAGGGUGCGAGCGUUGUCCGGAAUUAUUGGGCGUAAAGAGCUCGUAGGCGGCCUGUCGCGUCGGAUGUGAAAGCCCGGGGCUUAACCCCGGGUCUGCAUUCGAUACGGGCAGGCUAGAGUUCGGUAGGGGAGAUCGGAAUUCCUGGUGUAGCGGUGAAAUGCGCAGAUAUCAGGAGGAACACCGGUGGCGAAGGCGGAUCUCUGGGCCGAUACUGACGCUGAGGAGCGAAAGCGUGGGGAGCGAACAGGAUUAGA